rnacentral:tRNA from 2 species
AUUCUCUUAGUACAACAAGUACCAGUGACUUCCAAUCACUUAAUCUUGGUUAAAGCCCAAGAGAGAAUA